AUGACAACUAUACUUAUUCCAGGAGUGCUUACAUGUAUGCGCAGGUGGUAUUUCAGGAACCGCCUGCAAAGGUAUGGUGGGACUCCAAAGAGCGCACUGACGACCUACUUCUUAGCCGCAGCAAACAUCUUCGAACCAAGCCGAGCAUCAGAGCGUCUAGCAUGGGCUCGCAUGGCGGUGCUUGCCGAGGCGGUGACCUCUCACUACCGAUACACAGGGUAUGCAGCUUCACAGUUUUCCUUCUCCGAAAUCUGGUUUUAUGGAAUAUGUCUAGAUUUGGGGAUGCCACAAUCGCGAGGUGUUCUAUGUGGCUGGCCUCAAGGUUUUUUCUUUCUUUUUUGGUUUUUCCUCUUUAUAAACUAA
rnacentral:rRNA from 1 species